UACGAAGGGGGCUAGCGUUGCUCGGAAUCACUGGGCGUAAAGGGUGCGUAGGCGGGUCUUUAAGUCAGGGGUGAAAUCCCGGAGCUCAACUCCGGAACUGCCUUUGAUACUGGGGAUCUUGAGUCCGGAAGAGGUGAGUGGAACUCCGAGUGUAGAGGUGAAAUUCGUAGAUAUUCGGAAGAACACCAGUGGCGAAGGCGGCUCACUGGUCCGGUACUGACGCUGAGGUGCGAAAGCGUGGGGAGCAAACAGG
rnacentral:rRNA from 1 species